GUUGUAGUCUGGAGAAGUGCUUUCCGCGUUGGACCGUGUAUAAGUCUCUUGGAAUAGAGCGUCAUAGAGGGUGAGAAUCCCGUCUUUGACACGGACUACCAGUGCUUUGUGAUGCGCUCUCAAAGAGUCGAGUUGUUUGGGAAUGCAGCUCAAAAUGGGUGGUAAAUUCCAUCUAAAGCUAAAUAUUGGCGAGAGACCGAUAGCGAACAAGUACCGUGAGGGAAAGAUGAAAAGCACUUUGGAAAGAGAGUUAAACAGUACGUGAAAUUGCUGAAAGGGAAACACUUGAAGUCAGUCGUGUUGUUUGGAACUCAGCCUUGCUUUUGCUUGGUGCACUUUCUGAAUGACAGGCCAGCAUCAAUUUUGACCGUUGGAAAAAGGUAGGGGGAAUGUGGCACCUUCGGGUGUGUUAUAGCCUCUUGUCACAUACAACGGUUGGGAUUGAGGACCGCAGCACGCCGCAAGGCAGGGGGUUUCCCACUUUCGUGCUUAGGAUGCUGGCAUAAUGGCUUUAAAUGACCCGUCUUGAAACACGGACCAAGGAGUCUAACAUGCCUGCGAGUGUUUGGGUGGAAAACCCGAGCGCGUAAUGAAAGUGAAAGUUGAGACCUCUGUCGUGGAGGGCAUCGACGCCCGGACCUGACGUUCUCUGACGGAUCCGCGGUAGAGCAUGUAUGUUGGGACCCGAAAGAUGGUGAACUAUGCCUGAAUAGGGUGAAGCCAGAGGAAACUCUGGUG
rnacentral:rRNA from 1 species